rnacentral:rRNA from 1 species
AAUGAACGCUGGCGGCAGGCCUAACACAUGCAAGUCGAACGGAUCCUUCGGGAUUAGUGGCGGACGGGUGAGUAACGCGUGGGAACAUACCCAAAGGUACGGAAUAGCCUCGGGAAACUGGGAGUAAUACCGUAUGUGCUCGAAAGAGGAAAGAUUUAUCGCCUUUGGAUUGGCCCGCGUUGGAUUAGGUAGUUGGUGGGGUAAUGACCUACCAAGCCGACGAUCCAUAGCUGGUUUGAGAGGAUGAUCAGCCACACUGGGACUGAGACACGGCCCAGACUCCUACGGGAGGCAGCAGUGGGGAAUCUUAGACAAUGGGGGAAACCCUGAUCUAGCCAUGCCGCGUGAUCGAUGAAGGCCUUAGGGUUGUAAAGAUCUUUCAGGUGGGAAGAUAAUGACUGUACCACCAGAAGAAGCCCCGGCUAACUCCGUGCCAGCCGCCGCCAGUAA